GUUCUCUCCAUUGUUUAACAGCAGCAGAAACAGCAGGCAGCUCAAGAAAGGUGCUGUUUUCUGCUCUUGCAGCACCAGGUAUGCCAAACCACACAUUUGGCUGCAGCUGGAGGCAAGGCACUACCCAUUUUCAUCUGUGAACUACCUGCACAAUGUUGCUGUGAUAAGUCCAAUGUAGGUUUAAUAUGCAUUAGAAUUACUUCCAGCAGAGACUGAACUCACUGUCCUUAUGCACAGAGGAAGAAAUUAAAGAGAAGGAGUCAGGAGUUGACAAUUCUAGACAACUAUGAACUUUUGUGCAGAGCUGCCUGGCUGAGUGGUGCUGUUGAACCAGCCCUUUCGCUACAGAUUUUUUUGCUCAAUCACCAUUUCUGAUUCUCCUGAUUGAGGACAUGUCUUCAUGUCUUGUGUGCUGCCCGCUAUGGAAACCGCAUUCAAUACCAAGAAGCUUUCCUGAGGCACACCUCAAUACAUCACCUAAGUACAAAUAUACAUGGAUGGAUUUAGUCUACUCUGCCCCUUCCCACACUCCCCAGUAGAGAGAUGGUAACUCAGACCCUUCUGUCCAAUCAGGUGUAAUCCUUUCUUCUCAUCACACUCAACAUGACCUCAUCCCAGCUUCAUCUUUCCCCUUAGAACUAUUUUAGAACCUCCACUUCACACCCCAAGGGAUUUUUAUUCCCCUGUUCAGGGUAGUUUGUGUUCUCUGGUUUUUCUGUCCCGAGCCACUUGCAUCAUUUCCCACAUAAUGUCCCCUGCCUACGACCUUCCAGCAAAAUAAUGCCCUUCAAAAAUAAAUAUAUACAUGAGUCUUCUUGAGGCAGAGUCCCGAUACCCAUAAUUUCAAAAGCAUGCAGUUGAUGCCUGGCAAAGAAGCUAUGAGGUCUUCUAACAGAAAACACAAAACAGUCUUAAUAAAUAAUGGUACUUUUUUGCUGCAAAUUUCCUACAACAAGAAGCUGAUUUCCUUUCCUAGAUGGCAUUUUCCUGUGUCUUACCC